CAUGCGGAUUAAUUCGAUGCAACGCGAAGAACCUUACCUGGGCUUGACAUGUGCCUGACGAUCCCGGAGACGGGGUUUCCCUUCGGGGCGGGUUCACAGGUGGUGCAUGGUCGUCGUCAGCUCGUGUCGUGAGAUGUUGGGUUAAGUCCCGCAACGAGCGCAACCCUCGCCGCGUGUUGCCAGCGGGUCAUGCCGGGAACUCACGUGGGACCGCCGGGGUUAACUCGGAGGAAGGUGGGGAUGACRUCAGAUCAUCAUGCCCCUUACGUCCAGGGCUUCACGCAUGCUACAAUGGCCGGUACAACGGGGUGCGACACGGUGACGUGGGGCGGAUCCCUGAAAACCGGUCUCAGUUCGGAUCGCAGUCUGCAACUCGACUGCGUGAAGGUGGAGUCGCUAGUAAUCGCGGAUCANCAACGCCGCGGUGAAUGCGUUCCCGGGCCUUGUACACACCGCCCGUCAAGUCAUGAAAGUGGGCAGCACCCCAAAAC
rnacentral:rRNA from 1 species